rnacentral:rRNA from 1 species
UGGGGAAUUUUGGACAAUGGACGCAAGUCUGAUCCAGCCAUUCCGCGUGCAGGAUGAAGGCCCUCGGGUUGUAAACUGCUUUUGUACGGAACGAAAAGGUCUCUCUUAAUACGGGGGGCUCAUGACGGUACCGUAAGAAUAAGCACCGGCUAACUACGUGCCAGCAGCCGCGGUAAUACGUAGGGUGCAAGCGUUAAUCGGAAUUACUGGGCGUAAAGCGUGCGCAGGCGGGUAUGUAAGAAAGAGGGG